rnacentral:lncRNA from 1 species
GGGUCUUUGAUGAAUGCUUGCUCUCUCUUGUGUUUUGUUGUUGUUUGUUGGGGCUUAAGUUAGUUUUUAUGCCCCUUAUGCAUGUGGGUGUGAGUAUGCAUGUUGUGGGAAGUUGGGUGUGAGGAUUUGAGAGUUUUGGGGCUGAAAUGCAUGAGGCGGAAUCGGGUUCUGCCAUUAUGGAGAACUCAGGUUCGGCUGCCGAACCUGCCUGUGGAGGCAGUCUUUGGCCGCCUAAUCUGCCUCCGAAAGAAUGGACUUUCGGAUAUGUAAGGGAGUUUCGGCCGCCGAACCUGCUCUCGAAGGUUGGUGACUUUCGGAUCUGUGGAGACCUUCAGCUGCCGAAC